AACUAACGCUGGCGGCGUGCCUAACACAUGCAAGUCGUACGAGAAAGUUGGCUUCGGCCGAUGAGUAAAGUGGCGCACGGGUGAGUAAUGCGUGGAUAAUCUGCCCUUUAGUUGGGAAUAACGUACCGAAAGGUGCGCUAAUACCUGAUAAUACUGCAUAACUACUGUUGUGUAGUCAAAGAAGGCCUCUGUUUACAAGCUUUUGCUGAAGGAUGAGUCCGCGUACCAUUAGCUGGUUGGUGGGGUAAUGGCCUACCAAGGCUACGAUGGUUAGCUGGUCUGAGAGGAUGAUCAGCCACACUGGAACUGAGACACGGUCCAGACUCCUACGGGAGGCAGCAGUGAGGAAUAUUGCGCAAUGGGGCAACCCUGACGCAGCAACGCCGCGUGAAGGAAGAAGGUUUUCGGAUCGUAAACUUCUAUCCUUGGUGAAAUAAAGAAUGGUAGCCAAGAAGGAAGCCCGGCUAACUACGUGCCAGCAGCCGCGGUAAUCU
rnacentral:rRNA from 1 species